UACAGAGGUCCCAAGCGUUGUUCGGAUUCACUGGGCGUAAAGGGUGCGUAGGCGGCUGGGUAAGUCUGAUGUGAAAUCUCCGAGCCCAACUCGGAAACUGCAUCGGAUACUAUUCAGCUGGAGGAUUGGAAGGGAUGCUGGAAUUCUCGGUGUAGCAGUGAAAUGCGUAGAUAUCGGGAGGAACACCAGUGGCGAAGGCGAGUAUCUGGACAGUUCCUGACGCUGAGGCGCGAAAGCGAGGGGAGCAAACGGG
rnacentral:rRNA from 1 species